GGUUCAUUUUAGUUGCCUCCUCCUAUUCUCCUCUCUCCCUCUCCUCCUCAUACUACAACCCCUAUUUGGGGUGUGUGGACACCAAGAAGGAGAAGCCCCUUUUUGAUUUUGUGGUGCACACGAGGAAGAGUUUUGGUAAGUGAUUUAAGGAGCAUGUUCGUAGCCCUUGUCAUGUGAAUCCCCACUAGAGAAGAGAACAAUUGACUUUCUUCAUCAUCUCUCACAG
rnacentral:lncRNA from 1 species